UACGGGGGGGGCAAGCGUUGUUCGGAAUUACUGGGCGUAAAGGGCUCGUAGGCGGCCAACUAAGUCAGACGUGAAAUCCCUCGGCUUAACCGGGGAACUGCAUCUGAUACUGGAUGGCUUGAGUUCGGGAGAGGGAUGCGGAAUUGCAGGUGUAGCGGUGAAAUGCGUAGAUAUCUGGAGGAACACCGGUGGCGAAGGCGGGUCUCUGGGCCGAUACUGACGCUGAGGAGCGAAAGCGUGGGGAGCGAACAGG
rnacentral:rRNA from 1 species